rnacentral:lncRNA from 10 species
CCAGUGACUUCCCUGGGAUAGAUCCUGGGGACUGAGUUUGAAUGUUACAGGCUUCCCCAGUGUGCCCCAUCCUUAGUUUUGCCUCGGUCAUCUUGGACAAGUUAUUGAAUUUGACCAAGCCUCAGUUUCCUCACCUGUAAAAUGGUGUACUUGAUUCACCUAAUUGUUCUAAGAAUAAAAUGAAAUAAUGUAAGUGGGAGACAUAGAAG